CUGCACUUACCUACUGUGACACCACUGUUGCCGACACAGCCACCUCCGUGCGGGGGGUCCCUGGGGCAGACGCCCUGCUAUCCUCAUCUUAGGAUACCCAGUUCCCAACACAGUGCCUGCUGCAAAUUAUCAGUAAUAACAGUAAGUCUUUGUCACGUAAUGAGUUACCUUUCAGUCUCUCUGCAGUCUCUUUCCUCCCAAUGCCCCUUGGCUGCUCCCGAAGCCCUGACUCCUGACCUCCUGCCCCUUCUGUCUCCAGGGCCAUUAACUCCCCUGCUGGUCCCUAUCCAUGGAGCCCAUUGACAGAUGAGUUUGAUUCUGGACCUAAGAAGGACAGUUAACAGACACAGAUAUCUUUUAAGAAUCUUCCCUUCAGAGAAUACUAGAAAGUGUUCAGUAUGUUAAGCCCUUAGAAAUAAAUUCUGGCCGGGCGCGGUGGCUCACGCCUGUAAUCCCAGCACUUGGGGAGGCUGAGGUGGGUGGAUCACAAGGUCAGGAGAUCAAGACCAUCCUGGCCAACACGGUGAAACCCCAUCUCUACUGGGCGCCUGUAGUCCCAGCUACUCGGGAGGCUGAGGCAGGAGAAUGGCGUGAACCCGGGAGGGAACCCGGGAGGCGGAGCUUGCAACGAGCCGAGAUCGAGCUUGCAAUGAGCCAAGAUCGCGCCACUGCACUCCAGCCUGGGAUACAGAGCGAGACUCCGU
rnacentral:lncRNA from 1 species